rnacentral:tRNA from 1 species
GCCUCUGUAGCUUAAUACACAAAAGCAUAACAUUGAAGCUGUUAAGAUGACAGACGUCCGGAAGCA